UCCCGGUGAGGAAUCUAAGACCAUAGGAAGUGCCGUAUGACACUUUAAACAGCAGCUGCUUU
rnacentral:snoRNA from 10 species